CAUUAUUUCAGUGUAGAUAAGGGAAGGUCAGGUUAAAAUACAAACAUGACAGCCAGACGAACCAGUGUAUGAAUCAAAUGGAUUUGCAUAUGAUUUGGAGUGGAAAUUAGCUGACUUCGUGAUCUGUAAGGUAGACUUUGCAUUGCCUCUGUGUGCGACUGCCUUGAGCAGCAGUCUGAGGGACUUUGCAGGGAAAAUGCCGUGCAGUGAGGCGUAGGGGAUUGUCUGCAGCAGGACGACCCUCAGUGGAUGGACGCCGAGGGGUGUGGUGCUCCUCCAGCAGCUUUCUCAUGAGAUUCUCUCUGUACUUUUGGUGGUCCACCUUCCCUGUGGCCGACAUGAUCGCUGUAUGGACAGUGGAAAGAACAUGGAUGUCUCGUUUGUCAUGUCACUUUACUGCCAACCGUUACCUGUUCUCCUGGAACUCCACCUCCCCUCUCUGCAUCUUCCUGCCUCCGAAUGUCAGCAUCCCCUUCCUCUUCGACCGAACCGUGCCACAGGUCCCAGUGCUGUAGGAGAGCAGAAGCUGGAAGAGUGUUGUACCAAUUCAAAUAAAUAUCAAAUGUUAUUGGUCGCGUACAGAUAAUUGGCAGAUGUUAUUGCAGGUGUAGCUAAAUGCUUAUGUUACUAGCGGCAAUAGUGCAGUAAUACCUAACAAUACAAAACAAUACACACAAAGACCAAGAAAUGUAAAGAAAGAAAUUAAGAAAUAAUACAAAGUGUGGCCCUUCCCAAGAUGAGGGACCAGCCUGUUCCUCAUAAGCCCCUCAUAACGUUGGAUGUCAGUGGUGGACCCUGUGUAGACUAUAAAGUCUUUGACAAAUCCUGCCUUCACUUCGCAUAUAACAAAGAACUUCACCCCAAACCUGUGACUUUUAAAGGGAAUAUAUUAUCGGAACACCAGCAUAUCCUUCCGUAACAUCAGGGACUAACUAACUAACUAACGUGCUUCUACAUCUGCAUUGCUUGCUGUUUGGGGUUUAAGGCUGGGUUUCUGUGUAGCACUUUGUGACAACUGCUGAUGUAAAAAGGCCAUUGUAAAUACAUUUGAUUGAUUGAACUAAUGCAGCAGCAUAGGUGACUUCAUGUAGGCGGUUAAGAGAACGAGGUUAAGAAAAGGGUUAGGCUUAGCAACAAUCCAAGGUGCCAGGGUUCCAGUCUUGAAGCACGAUUUUGACUGCUCCUACAGUUUUGCUUUGGUACUGCAAUUUAACUGACUCCCGGCCCAGAAAGACAAUUUCCAUACACGGCCACAUAGAGAAGUCAGAUUUGAAAAUUCCUAAUAAGACACUUAUAACAUCCAUUGAAUUAUUUAAAUUGAAUCACUCACAGCCGAAGAUAUUAGCAUUUUAUAUUCAUUCAAUGCCUGCCAUGUUUUUGGAUGAUGUGAUGAUGACUUCGUUGCUGCUCCCUGUGCGCAGUGAGUGCUACAGUAGUGCACAUGUGAUGUUGGUCCUUAUUAACCGGAUGCAAAAGGGGAGGGUGGUGCAACUCAAUAUUAGGAAGGUGUUCCUAAUAUUUGGUAUACUCAGUGUAUAUACUGUAUUCUAGUCAAGGCUCAUCCUAUAUACUGUAACUACUGCUCUACAGACUUGUUCUAUUUAUAUACUGUCCAUAAUAUUCUAGUGUCAAAAUUGUGAAGUGUAAAUAGUAUAAUUUUGGUCAUAAAGUCAGUCUCGUCCAAAAAGGA